GACGUAGGGUCCGAGCGUUGUCCGGAGUUACUGGGCGUAAAGGGCGCGUAGGCGGUUAUCUGCGUCACACGUGAAAGCCCCUGGCUCAACCAGGGAGGGUCGUGUGAAACGGGGUAACUGGAGGCAGAGAGAGGCUGGUGGAAUUCCCGGAGUAGUGGUGAAAUGCGUAGAGAUCGGGAGGAACACCGGUGGCGAAGGCGGCCAGCUGGCUCUGACCUGACGCUGAGGCGCGAAGGCGUGGGGAGCGAACGGG
rnacentral:rRNA from 1 species